rnacentral:lncRNA from 1 species
GAAUUGUUGAAGAAAAAUUCCUGUCUUGGCUGAGAUCAGGACCUACUCUUCUGCAAUGGCUCCCUACAUGUUACAGAUUAUCAGCCACGGAAAUGGUUUCUCACCGUGUUAGAUGUAGAGUCUGCAAAACUUUCCCCAUAACAGGCCUCAGGUAUCGCUGUCUGAAGUGCCUCAAUUUUGACCUUUGCCAGGUCUGCUUUUUCACCGGCCGUCACAGCAAGCCACAUAAGAGUUCACAUCCUGUUGUGGAACACUGUGUGCAGAUGUCAGCAAAGGCGAAUGCAAAGCACUUUCUCUGCACUGUGAGAAACAACCUAUUUCAAGACUGCUGCAGAAGAAAGGAGGCUCAGGGAGGGAAGGUUCUGGAGAUAACGGAGGAGAGGCAUUUCCCUACUCACAAGAAUAUUCUUCCCCCAGCAGAACUCAGUGCUUCACCAUUCCUUAGACGUGAAAACCUGUCUCUGCCAGUGAACAACCCUAUUCUGGAAUCACCCAAGUUUACAUCCAAAAACAGAACUGUACUGCACAAGAAUGACAAUAACAGCAAGAUACUGGAGCAAGGCAAGACAAAAAU